UGUACCGGGGCACACAAAGUCUGCGUGUCCA
rnacentral:piRNA from 1 species